rnacentral:rRNA from 1 species
CUAGACGAGUUUGAUCAUGGCUCAGGAUGAACGCUAGGCGGGAGGCCUAAUACAUGCAAGUCGAGCGGUAGAGUGACUUCGGUUGCUUGAGAGCGGCGAACGGGUGAGUAACGCGUACACAAUCUACCUCCAAGCGAGGGAUAGCCCUGGGAAACUGGGAUUAAUACCUCACGUGAUUAUGAUGCCGCAUGGUGUUAUAAUUAAAGUUCAGGCGCUUGGAGAUGGGCGUGCGUCCUAUUAGCUAGUUGGUGAGGUAACGGCUCACCAAGGCGACGAUAGGUAGGGGGCGUGAGAGCGUGGCCCCCCACACGGGUACUGAGACACGGACCCGACUCCUACGGGAGGCAGCAGUAAGGAAUAUUGGACAAUGGGCGCAAGCCUGAUCCAGCCAUCCCCGCGUGCAGGAUGACAGCCCUACGGGUUGUAAACUGCUUUUGUUAGGGAAGAAACCCCUCGAUUUAUCGGGGGCUGACGGUACCUUUCGAAUAAGCACCGGCUAACUCCGUG